rnacentral:rRNA from 1 species
GUUUGAUCCUGGCUCAGAAUCAACGCUGGCGGCGUGCCUCAGACAUGCAAGUCGAACGAUUAAGACUUCCUUCGGGAAGUGCAUAAAGUGGCGCACGGGUGAGUAACACGUAAGUAAUCUACCCUCGAGUGGGGAAUAACGUUCGGAAACGAACGCUAAUACCGCAUAACGCAGCGGCACCGCAAGGUGACAGUUGUUAAAGGAGUAAUUCGCUUGAGGAGGAGCUUGCGGCAGAUUAGCUAGUUGGUAAGGUAACGGCUUACCAAGGCUACGAUCUGUAUCCGGUCUAAGAGGACGGUCGGACACACUGACACUGAAUAACGGGUCAGACUCCUACGGGAGGCAGCAGUCGGGAAUUUUGGGCAAUGGGCGAAAGCCUGACCCAGCAACGCCGCGUGAAGGAUGAAGUAUUUCGGUAUGUAAACUUCGAAAGAAUGGGAAGAAUAAAUGACGGUACCAUUUAUAAGCUCCGGCUAACUACGUGCCAGCAGCCGCGGUAAUACGUAGGGAGCAAGCGUUGUUCGGAUUUACUGGGCGUAAAGGGCGCGUAGGCGGCGCGGUAAGUCACUUGUGAAAUCUCUGAGCUUAACUCAGAACGGCCAAGUGAUACUGCAGUGCUAGAGUGCAGAAGGGGCAAUCGGAAUUCUUGGUGUAGCGGUGAAAUGCGUAGAUAUCAAGAGGAACACCUGAGGUGAAGACGGGUUGCUGGGCUGACACUGACGCUGAGGCGCGAAAGCCAGGGGAGCAAACGGGAUUAGAUACCCCGGUAGUCCUGGCCCUAAACGAUGAAUACUUGGUGUCUGGAGUUUCAAGACUCCGGGUGCCGUCGCUAACGUUUUAAGUAUUCCGCCUGGGGAGUACGCUCGCAAGAGUGAAACUCAAAUGAAUUGACGGA